GUCAGUGUGGCAUAAUGGUUUAAGUGUUGGACUGUGACUCUGGACAUUAGGGUUCCAAUCCCUGCUUGGCCA